rnacentral:rRNA from 1 species
UACGUAGGAGGCGAGCGUUGUCCGGAAUCACUGGGCGUAAAGCGCGUGUAGGCGGGAAGGCAAGUCUGCUGUGAAAGCGCCUGGCUUAACUGGGCGAGGUCGGCGGAAACUGCUUACCUGGAGGACGGUAGAGGGGGGUGGAAUUCCCGGUGUAGUGGUGAAAUGCGUAGAGAUCGGCAGGAACACCCAGGGGGAAACCAGUGGACUGGGCAUGUGCUGACGCUCAGGUGCGAAAGCGUGGGGAGCGAACCGG